AUAUGUCUUGAUCUCGCUCCAACUCUAAUUCUUAAGAAAAAAAAUUCGCCCUAAAUCCGAAUUCAAAAUUUUAUAGAAGACCUAACCCCACCUUGAAUUUAAUUUAGGUGUUAUAUUUUUUAUUUUGAAGCAAAUAAAAUUAAUUAUUAUUAGUAUACACUUCUUUUUUGAAAAAGACAAUUGGCUUGUAUUUGUUUCAAAAGAAUAAAAAAAACAAAAUAAAAAACAAGAAAUUAAAGCAACCCUAAAGGAACCCAAUCGGUUUCCUAAAACAAAAAGAAAAAAAAAAAAAACCAAGCAAACGUCCCUAAUCAGAAGCCAGCCUUUCCACGAUCGAAACUCCUAUUGAAACAUCCAGUACCCAGCAAUUCCCGUUCACCGACUGAGUGUCCGUUCGUCGAUACUCAUGCUAGAAACCGGGGGCACCUCUCUUAAGAGUCCAAAACUCCUCACAAAGCCGAUGUCUUCUUCAACCAGCUUGAUUCCGAGGUACCCCCACUGAACCCAUCCACUUUGUUCAUCGAGAGACCAUUUUCACUGAGGUUUCACUUAAUAAACCCCUAACUGACAAUAACCCUUUUCAAACUUGAUCGAUUCAUUUGUUCUAUCUACCCUCUUCUAUUCCACCAUGCAAUCCUUAUUACGCCACUUACUCUCUCAGAGAUUCUCUUCGGCGAUCAUCAUCUACCUCCAUAGCAGUCGACCGAGGAAAUCCAUUUUGCAGAUAAGUACCCCUGUUCCUUUUAACUCCUCCACUGCUAAUGCGUGCACCACUUUAUUUGCCUAUCUCAAUGUAUUUCUAAACAAGCAUGCUUCAUAGUUAGAGCUUAGCAUUCUAACGCUUAAUACAUAGGCACUAAUUUCAGAUUUAUAUGUAUUCCCUAUUUGUACCUUUAUUACUGACAACGCAUUGUCUUCAAUUUCAGCCUUCACGAUUCCCAAAUCCACCCCUAACUGAACCGCUUGGACACACGCAAUUGCCUCUGCAACAAAUCCAGUUGGUAUGUGCUCAUUCAGGCGCAUGCAUCAAAGUUGAUUUUCACAUACGACUCCUUCGGCGAUCUCCAACGCUCUCCCUAUACUCUUCAACCAGCUAUCCACAUGGCCAAAAAUGAACAGGCUAUUACUCACAUUUUUGUAUUGAGACGCUGUUAUAGAGUUAAACAAUCCCUAAAAGCAUGCUCAACAUUUUCUGCUUUGCCUGUACAUUUGGGACAGUUCGCAGAUCCCACCAAUCUCCUUUAGUAUAGAUUGUAUUGAUUAGGCAAAUAACUGUUAAAAAUCCUCCAAUUCAUAAUUUUUAUUUUAGAAGGCAGAUCCAAGAGCCAAAGUCUUUUAUAAAAAUAUAAAAAGGGUUGUAAGCAUGUUGUUCAUUGUUGAGAGUAGUCGGGUGUAUUUCUUGUAUUAGUAUUUUGUACCCACUCCUUAUCCAGUAUUCCCCAGAAGCCUCACCUCGCCAUACCAACCUGUCCUCCUGUGGUCGACAUGGUAAACGAAUGCAUAAGAUCCUGUCAGCUUCUUCUUCAUUAAAGGUAGUUUUAAUUAAUCCUUCCCUCCAAUAAUUUGUAGUUUGAUCAAUUAAAUACGAUACAUAACAUAUAUGCUGAUCAUUUGCUCGUGUUUGGAUUUUGAAA